ACAUGAAAAAUCUACCAUCAUCACCUUGCGAAUAUUUUAAAAAAAUGGCGCAAAACAAAGGGUUUCUUUAAAGAAGAGGACUUCUCCUGCUGAAUGCUCCACAAGCUCUCUAAGGAUCCUUUCAGAAUUCUAAUGCCGGGCCUGGCCCUUAUUUGACUGUGUAUUUAAUAACUGCUGUUGCUGUUGAGAGUUGGUACAAUUUUCUCAAAGGAAUUUUCCAUCUCUGAAAGGAUCCAUUCAGAAUUCUAAAGCCGUCUCUUAUUUGACUGUGUAUUUAAUAAAUGCAGUUGCUGCUGUUGCGAGUUGGUACAAUUUUCUAAAAG